AUUGCUGCCCACCAGCAGAGGAUCAGGCUGACAUCUUCAGGAGGCAUAUGGAGGUAAUGGUUAACUUUGCUACAGUGAAGACCAAGGUAAAUUGGGUGCACUGAAGAGAAAAACCUGACCACUUCUGCAGCUGUGCAUCUGGAGUCUGAGUUGUACUGCGACAUUAGCUCUUUUGACUAGAUGUGAUGACAGACUGUCUUUGGUCCAUUCUCUUUUAUUGCCUUGGAAGAGAAUAAAUGAGGAGUAGUUCUCACCCAUUGCAGCUGAGGCAUCACACCUGUAAUGGGAUUAACAAGAUGAUAAUAUAUCUUUUGCCAAGACCACAUACUAGCAGCUAUUACUAACAAAGAAAAGACUGCUUCUGUAAUACAACAAUAAAUUUAUUGAACUAAAAGUUGAGACUGACAUCUGGGCACAUUGGGCUCCUCAUGCCUCUGAAUAAACAGACAAACAAAUGAGUUACUAUACCAGCAGAGGGGUACAAGCAAUUUUCCAGUCUUGACCCUUUAUCUGUUGACCAAGCUAAGGCAGAAACCAGCUAAAUUCUGGAUUUAAUCUUGAGCAGCAAAAAAGAUCAGCUUUUGAAGUGGAUCUGCUUUUAUUCUUGGCAAAAGUUCAGCGGAGACCAACCAGAGUGGUGACAAAGUUCUUCAACAUCAAGCCAAAUGUAAUACAAGGAAUUACGGAUAGUGCUUAAUCUAAAAUAAAGAAAUUCCACAUCUCCCUAAAAAGUUAUUGGCUUCAAGAAUGAAAACAAAAGAAGCAUAUUUGUCUCAAUCCAAACACAGACACCAGAAAGACAAACCAGGAGUAUACAGCAAAGUAGCUUGCAGGAUAAUACAUUGAAAAAUGUAAUUGUGCAUAAAUCAUGCACAAAGUAGAAACCACAAAUUCUGUAUUUGGCAAGGCUUCGGUUCCUUUGCAUAAUUCUUUCAUUUUCAUCUUGCUGCUUCCAUUCUCUUUUCAUCAAAAAAAGCUACAUAAAACAAAGACAUAAACUGUAUGCAAUUAAAAUGAGAAAAUAGCUGAAAGGAAUGUAUUGAUAAUUAUGUUAAAAUCUAUACCAUAAGUAUUCUUGCAUUGUUAAGCAUCUAAUUUUUCAUGUGUUGACAUCAGCAUCUCAGUUCUCUCUAACAUCUGAAAGCUUUUUUUUUUAAGGCAACUUCUUUUAGAGUGAACAAACUUAUGUACCACCGAGUUGACAAAAGUAUAACUAUAUCCUACAGAAAGAGACCUCAAGUAAACCUCCAGCAGCCAUCUGGACUUCCAUGAAAACAGAACAAUCAGUGAGAUGCAGAGCUUGGAGGAGACAGUUUCCAUAGACUGAAGCACGUGCUGAAGCAAAGUUCACACUUGCAGGAUUAGAAGAGGUUGACCGAAAGAAGGAAGGACAUGGACAGCUAUGUUGUUGUGGAGUCCUGUUUUAUAGUCAUAACCUUGAGUCAAGUGAGUUUGUCUGGACAGACAGAGCUUGUUGCCUUUACUUAUAGGGAAGGCACCGGACACAGACAGCCUCAAGGACAUUUGUUCUAGCCUUUCAGUAUCCUUUCUCUUAAUUAUCUCACCUCAUCCAUGAAGCUGGUAUGUACGAUUUUUCCUUUCUUUCUCAAUCCUUUAAAAAAUUAAAGCUCUAAAUCUC
ensembl:lncRNA MIR924HG MIR924 host gene